rnacentral:rRNA from 1 species
AAAAUUAGAGUGUUCAAAGCAGGCAGAUCCAAUUUUCUGCCACCGAAUACAUUAGCAUGGGAUAAUGGAAUAGGACCCUGUCCUCCUAUUUUCAGUUGGUUUUGGCAGCGCGAGGACUAGGGUAAUGAUUAAUAGGGAUAGUUGGGGGCAUUAAUAUUUAAUUGUCAGAGGUGAAAUUCUUGGAUUUAUGAAAGAUUAACUUCUGCGAAAGCAUCUGCCAAGGAUGUUUUCAUUAAUCAAGAACGAAAGUUAGGGGAUCGAAGACGAUCAGAUACCGUCGUAGUCUUAACCAUAAACGAUGCCGACCAGCGAUUAGGAGACGUUGAAUACAAAACACCACCAUCGGCGCGGUCGUCCUUGGCGUGUCUCGGCUUCACGGCUGGGGCGCGCGAGGGCGGUAGCCCUA